ensembl:lncRNA
CUAGUUUCGGUGCCUUGUUUUGUACUUAGUUCCGUGCUUAGUUUCUGUGCCUAGUUUGGGGCCUAGCAUGUGCCUAGGGGGCAUAGUUUCUUGAGUUACUAGCCACCAUCUCCUGCACCCUUAUUCCCAACUACACCACCCAGUCCAGUCGCCAUAUCCCAAAAGCUUGGGGUGACCGCCUCGGUCCCUCACACCUGGUGAAUAAAAGGGUACACAGCGAUAUUGCCUGUAGAGCACCACAUGUGCUUACUGAGGUAAGACGCCUGGUUCCUGCUCCAUUGGCCCAAAGAUGACCACACUUGAAGAGAACCAGCUGCAGCCGGAGGGGUCACGGCCAAAGAGCCAUAGCCAAAGAGAGGUUGAGAUGUGUUUGCCAACGACGCCCGCGGCAAGCUGAUCACCUGCUGCAGAGGCGAGAAGUAGAGCCUGUGCACCUAACGCUGCCGACUUAUGCUUAUACGCUCGAUGGGGCUACCCCAAUUUGAUGACAGCAAACAAGAGAAACUUGCACUUCAAGUUUUCGUUCAGGAUUUGCAGCCAGAGCAAUUCAGGGAGCACAUUCGCCUCAGUGCACCUGGGUCCCUGGCAGCAGCCUUGGACAAGCUCGAGACAUUGUGUGCACCAGGCCGACCUGGAAAAGAGUGAGGAGGUUGAAGGGAGCGAGGAGGAAGAAGAGGCAACUUGUCAGGCGGGGACCCCUGAGGGCGGAAGGGCAGUCCGAGGGGUUCUACCAAUGUGGGGAACCAGGGCACAUUGUCCGUCAUUGCUCAGCACCAGCAAUUUACAACCCAGAACCUUAGACACAACUGUGGCUCAGUUAGCAGGGCUGACCCCAUGGGCUUUAUGUUGACUGCAACAUAGAACGCAUCCUAAGCCCUGCACCAUCCGGGACCAGUGCAUCUAGGACCGGUGCAUCAUUGGGCUGGAUCUGCUGGCUAUGCGGGGUGGCUACGGUGGAUGUGUGCAGAGCUAAACUACUUUCUGACCGUAUUGCUGCUGGCUGCUCCAGAGAAGCCUCCAGUCCAGAGUCGCAGAGUGCGUCGCAAGCUGAGGAGAGCUGCUCCCGCCAUGCCUUCACCUCCAGAGGGUCCUCGUGCUCCCACCUCCAGCUAAGACAGAGGCCUCCACCUCAAUGCCGUCUGCCCCGGAGAAAUCUCUGUGUCACUGCCACCGUUACCACCACUCUGUGAGGAGGAAGAGAGCCAGCAUUGUCAGCUGAGACGCAGCGGCUCCAGUGGUGGCUGCUCUGCGGGCUGCCACUCCGAGCGAGGAUGACACCUCCGGAGCAGCAGCAGCGACAGCAGCACCCCGGGUGGUCCAUGGCUUGAUGAAGGCAGGCCACUUCGGAAUCGCCAUCAUGCCCCAGCACUUGAAAGACUGCCUGGGUCAUUUGCAACAAUUGACUGGCCUGGUGGGGGCUAAGUAGCGUGCAGGAUGUAUUACGGCUUCUGUGUGUGUGUGUGUGUGUGUGUGUGUUAUCUGUGUGUGAGAUAGUUUGUUCCAUAAUGCUGUGCAUCUGUGCCUGUUAGGAUGGUUAAUGUUUAAUUCUGUGUUUAACGUUCCAUUUUCCAAUGUACCUGUGUUUUUUAGCCUGUGUUAAUGUCGGCAUGUAUUUCUGUUAUCCUUUUUAAGUCCGCAUAAUUGAGUGUAUGUGAUUCUCUGUUGUUAGCAUAUUCACCCACCCCUAUCUAAUGUGUUGUGUAUAAGACUACCUUCUGUAUCAGUCUGACUGAAUGUUGCG